rnacentral:rRNA from 1 species
CUGUACUUGGUGUUACUGCGAAGGGGGGACGGAGAAGGCUAUGUUGGCCGGGCGACGGUUGUCCCGGUUUAAGCGUGUAGGCUGGUUUUCCAGGCAAAUCCGGAAAAUCAAGGCUGAGGCGUGAUGACGAGGCACUACGGUGCUGAAGCAACAAAUGCCCUGCUUCCAGGAAAAGCCUCUAAGCAUCAGGUAACAUCAAAUCGUACCCCAAACCGACACAGGUGGUCAGGUAGAGAAUACCAAGGCGCUUGAGAGAACUCGGGUGAAGGAACUAGGCAAAAUGGUGCCGUAACUUCGGGAGAAGGCACGCUGAUAUGUAGGUGAAGCGACUUGCUCGUGGAGCUGAAAUCAGUCGAAGAUACCAGCUGGCUGCAACUGUUUAUUAAAAACACAGCACUGUGCAAACACGAAAGUGGACGUAUACGGUGUGACGCCUGCCCGGUGC